CCUAUGUAUAUCCCCCUACCCCUCCUAUCCCAAUGAUCGCAGACUACCUUUCUUAAAACCCACCAACCAAGGGGGCCCCUCAGAGUUACCUCAUAGAGUAUGGACCAUAAGAUACAGCAGAUGACCUGAGAGGCCUUUACAGGAGCCCUCAUCAUAAGCUGACACACUUUAGGCUUGAGACAACAUGAAAUUUGUUUCUUAU